rnacentral:rRNA from 1 species
AUUGAACGCUGGCGGCAGGCCUAACACAUGCAAGUCGAGCGGAUGAAGGGAGCUUGCUCCUGGAUUCAGCGGCGGACGGGUGAGUAAUGCCUAGGAAUCUGCCUGGUAGUGGGGGAUAACGUCCGGAAACGGGCGCUAAUACCGCAUACGUCCUGUGGGAGAAAGUGGGGGAUCUUCGGACCUCACGCUAUCAGAUGAGCCUAGGUCGGAUUAGCUAGUUGGUGGGGUAAAGGCCUACCAAGGCGACGAUCCGUAACUGGUCUGAGAGGAUGAUCAGUCACACUGGAACUGAGACACGGUCCAGACUCCUACGGGAGGCAGCAGUGGGGAAUAUUGGACAAUGGGCGAAAGCCUGAUCCAGCCAUGCCGCGUGUGUGAAGAAGGUCUUCGGAUUGUAAAGCACUUUAAGUUGGGAGGAAGGGCAGUAAGUUAAUACCUUGCUGUUUUGACGUUACCAACAGAAUAAGCACCGGCUAACUUCGU